UUUCCGUAGGUGAACCUGCAGAAGGAUCAUUGUUGAU
rnacentral:rRNA from 1 species